GGCAGCUUGCUGCCGGGGUGAGAGUGGCGAACGGGUGAGUAAUGCGUGACCGACCUGCCCCAUGCACCGGAAUAGCUCCUGGAAACGGGUGGUAAUGCCGGAUGUUCCACAUGAGCGCAUGCGAGUGUGGGAAAGGCUUUUUGCGGCAUGGGAUGGGGUCGCGUCCUAUCAGCUUGUUGGUGGGGUAACGGCCUACCAAGGCGUUGACGGGUAGCCGGCCUGAGAGGGCGACCGGCCACAUUGGGACUGAGAUACGGCCCAGACUCCUACGGGAGGCAGCAGUGGGGAAUAUUGCACAAUGGGCGCAAGCCUGAUGCAGCGACGCCGCGUGCGGGAUGGAGGCCUUCGGGUUGUAAACCGCUUUUGUUCAAGGGCAAGGCACGGUUUCGGCCGUGUUGAGUGGAUUGUUCGAAUAAGCACCGGCUAACUACGUGCCAGCAGCCGCGGUAAUACGUAGGGUGCAAGCGUUAUCCGGAUUUAUUGGGCGUAAAGGGCUCGUAGGCGGUUCGUCGCGUCCGGUGUGAAAGUCCAUCGCUUAACGGUGGAUCCGCGCCGGGUACGGGCGGGCUUGAGUGCGGUAGGGGAGACUGGAAUUCCCGGUGUAACGGUGGAAUGUGUAGAUAUCGGGAAGAACACCAAUGGCGAAGGCAGGUCUCUGGGCCGUUACUGACGCUGAGGAGCGAAAGCGUGGGGAGCGAACAGGAUUAGAUACCCUGGUAGUCCACGCCGUAAACGGUGGAUGCUGGAUGUGGGGCCCUUUU
rnacentral:rRNA from 1 species